CCCGAUAUAGUAAAACGGAUAUUACGCCUCUCUCCUAAAGAGGAAGUCUAGGUUCGAUUCCUAGUAUUGGGA
rnacentral:tRNA from 1 species